rnacentral:rRNA from 1 species
UACCAGCACCCCGAGUGGUCGGGACGAUUAUUGGGCCUAAAGCAUCCGUAGCCGGUUCUACAAGUCUUCCGUUAAAUCCACCUGCUUAACAGAUGGGCUGCGGAAGAUACUAUAGAGCUAGGAGGCGGGAGAGGCAAGCGGUACUCGAUGGGUAGGGGUAAAAUCCGUUGAUCCACUGAAGACCACCAGUGGCGAAGGCGGCUUGCCAGAACGCGCUCGACGGUGAGGGAUGAAAGCUGGGGGAGCAAACCGG